UCCCUGCUGGCUCAAAGGUUAAAGCGUCUGCCUGCAAUGUGGGAGACCUUGGUUCAAUCCCUGGGUCGGGAA
rnacentral:tRNA from 1 species